rnacentral:lncRNA from 1 species
UGGAUUCGGCGGGAUAAAUGUGGUCACAUCUUCAUUAAUUAGAUGUCUUGAGUUCGAAACUUCAGAAUGGAGAUAGAACUCCUUAUAGGGAGAGUUGUUCCCCCUUUUUUGACCCCCAUAGCACGAAUCUGAAAUAGUGGAGUUAGAUAUUUUAAAUACAUGAUAAGAGAAAACAUGGAUUAGAAUUAAGCUGAGCAUAAGAUUUGCCUAAGUUAGAUUCUUUGAACUCAAAUCUUGCAAAAUCAAAUUUCAAUUCAUUGAAUUUGUCCUAUAGUUCAUUUUAACAUUUUCACUUAUUUAUUGAGAAAAAAAAAUAAUAGUAUCAAAAGAUAAACAAAUGUCACUGAUAAAUAGAUUAAUUAGUUCCGUUCUUUCCUACAGGAAACCUGCCUAGUCAAAUGUGGAACUUGACAAAACUUCAAGAUCUAUUUCUUGGAUGGAAUAACUUAACAGGUACUUAUCAUGCAGUUGGCUCCAUGUCUAAAAAUGUUCUUCUGUAACAACUUUGAUAGGUUAAACUGAGAUUUACUAACUUCGAUAUACAUUAUUGGAAAAUAUUACGUUAACUCCUCACUUCGUGGCACCACAGAUCUUUGAAAUUUCCAAACACUUGGAAAUCAUUUAAUAGAAAAUAUUAAUAAUUCAAGUUUUAGUACCAAAAAAUGUAACUGCAACUCUUUGUUCUUCACUUCCAAACAAGUUAGAACAACUACAUCAACCCAUGUUAGUUUGGGUUGAUUAUAUGAAUCCUCAAUGUUCAUAUCGCUCCAUUUAGACCUGUCCCAAUCCAAUAUCGAAUCAUUCAUGUUUUCUUAUAGUAGAAUUUCUCACACGUACACUUUCUACUGGCAUUUAGAUAUUUAAUAAGAUUAAAAGCCUGCUAGCAAACAUUGAACUAAGUAAAUAUACAAACAUAAGUAAGCCUCAAUCACGACAAGCUGGUAUCGCCUACAUUGAUCUUUAUCUUCCAUUCUGCUCUCGUCUAUGCUAAGUCUAAACGGAAUCCAAUUGAUAGUACAUAGUUCUUUUGCUUUCUUUUUAUCCUAUGUCGGGUAUUUCAUGGUUCAACUUUUGGCAUAUAAGCAACAGAGACAAAAAUAUAGGAACACAAGUAUAGAUUAUAGAAUGAAUCUAAUUCAUAUUGAUCUUCAAUGGAAUGUUGAAACAGUUACAAUGGUUGUUCCCUUCAGGAUAUGGAGAUAAACGUAUAAUGCAUAAAACUUUUAUCUGGCUAGAAGUUAAGUGAUAGGAGUACUACUUCAGAGUAAUGGAAUUUUUAGUGUAUAAUCACACAAUUUACAUAAAUUUUACAGGACAUAUACCAAGUGAAAUUGAUAACCUAUCAGCACUUCAAAGAUUAAGUCUCCGACGGAACAAUUUGGUGGGACUUCUUCCACCAUCCAUUGGAAAUUUGUCGAAUCUAGAGAUGAUAGACCUAGGUGAGAACAGUUUACGGGGUGACAUUCCUCGGGAAUUUGAACAUCUAGUAAAUCUGAAAGAACUGUAUCUUAGCUCAAACAGAUUAUCAGGUGAAGUUCCAAGGUCUAUUUUCAACAUUUCUGGACUAGAAAAGAUUGCAUUUGUAGCAAAUAAUGAGCUUUCAGGAAUACUUCCCUCAAACAUAGGCCAUAGCCUUCCAAAUCUUGAAGGCCUUUAUCUUGGGAGAAACCAGUUCAGUGGGCUGAUUCCUAGCUCCAUCGUAAAUUCCACCAAGCUUAUCCAUCUUGAUCUUGGCCGCAAUCUGUUUACUGGGCAUGUACCCAUGAAUCUUGGAAAUCUACAACAGCUUCAAUUCAUCAGCGUGCAAAUAAACCAAUUGACAAAUGAUCCUUCUAUGCGCGAGUUAAGUUUUCUUACCUCUCUAUCCAAUUGCAAGUAUCUGAAGACCGUUCAAAUAGGAGGCAACCAAUUCAAUGCAAGUCUUCCAAAAUUCCUAGGCUCAGGCAACUGGUCCUUUUCCCUUGAAUAUUUCACUGCUUCUACUAAUGGUAUCACAGGAAAAAUACCAACUAACUUAAGUAACUUGAGGAACCUGGAGUGGUUAAGCUUGGGAUAUAAUAAGCUUAUCGGUACGAUUCCACCAGAUUUGGGGAACUUGAGGAAAUUGCAAAACUUGAAACUGGACAAUAAUAAUAUAGAUGGAAUUAUACCAAUUAGCCUGUGUAAUAUGGAGAACUUGUUUCUAAUUAGCUUGAGCCAAAAUCAGCUUUCAGGGGAAGUACCAAGUUGCUUUGGAAAUCUUUCUUCUAUAAGAGAACUCUACUUAGAUUCCAAUGCGCUAAUUUCCAGUAUUCCACCAACUUUUUGGAGGAAUAAAGAUAUUUCAGUUGUCAAUUUGUCCUCCAAUUUUCUAAAUGGAUCUCUUGCACUAGAAAUGGGAAACUCAAGGAGUUUGCAGAUAUUACAUUUAUCUGGUAAUCAGUUCUCUGGUCAAAUUCCAAGCACAAUUGGACAACUUCAAAAUUUGGUUAUCCUUUCAUUGUCAAUGAAUAUGUUAGAUAGUCCUAUACCUAAAUCUUUUGAAGAUUUGGUUUCAUUGGAAUACCUGGAUCUAUCCAGAAACAAGCUAUCCAGCAUGAUUCCCAAGUCCUUGAGGAAUCUUAAACAUCUCAUGUAUUUCAAUGUCUCGUACAAUGGGCUCACGGGUGAAAUUCCAGAUGGAGGGUCAUUCGUGAACUUUACAGCUGAAUCAUUCAUGGGUAACCCAGCAUUAUGUGGAGCAUCCCGGUUCCAUGUGAUGCAAUGCAGAGUCAAUAGCCCUAAAAGACCAAAAAAGAAGAGGGUUGUAACUUCUGUUCUUGCAUCAGUUGCCUUAGGAGUUGUAAUGACCACCAUUUUCAUCGUUUGGUUACUGAAAUGCCGAAAAAGGAGUAGGGGACUUCCUCUAGUUGAUAUAUUUGGUCAAGUACAUAGGAGGAUUUCGUACCAUGAUAUUGCUCAAGGGACAAACAACUUUGAUGAAGCAAACUUGAUCGGGAGGGGGAGCCUUGGAUUGGUAUAUAAAGGGACACUUGCAGAUGGAAAGGUUGUGGCAUUCAAGGUAUUCAAUGCAGAAAUGCAACAUGCAUUCAGAAGUUUUGAUGUGGAGUGCCUAGUUCUACGAAGCAUUCGACAUAGGAACCUUGUUAAGGUGAUAAGUAGUUGUGCGAAUUUUGAUUAUAAAGUGUUGGUGCUAGAGUACAUGCCCAAUGAAAACCUUGAUUGUUGGCUUCACUCUCCCGACAAAUAUUUGGAUUUAACUCAAAGAUUAAAGGUGAUGGUUGAUGUGGCUUCUGCUAUGGAGUAUUUACAUGGAGGUCAUUUGUUUGUAGUCGUUCAUUGUGAUUUGAAACCAAGUAACAUACUUUUGGAUCGAGAUAUGGUGGCGAAAGUGAGUGACUUUGGGAUAUCCAAACUUCUAACAGCUGAGACGCUAAUAGCACAUACCAAAACCUUGGGUACUAUUGGCUACAUGGCACCAGGUAAAUGUUACUACCAAGUUAAUUUGAGUAAAUUUUAAACGACGUUAAUUAUUUUCAUUAAUGGGGGGGAUUACAUGAAAUUUCUUGCAGAGUAUGGUUCAGAAGGCAAAAUCUCAACCAAGGGAGAUGUUUAUAGCUUUGGUAUUCUGUUAAUGGAGACUUUUACAAGAAAGAGCCCUGUGGAUGAUCUAUUUGUCGGAGACUUCACCUUGAAAAAAUGGAUAUGCCAAUCAUUACCAAACCAAAUGGUGGAUGUAGUGGACAUUAAUUUAUUUUCACUGGAUGACGAAAAUUUUAUGUUGAAAGAGAGAUGCUUCAAAUCAAUCAUGGAAUUAGCUUUUGAAUGCACAAAUGACUUGCCUGAAGAGAGAAUUAGUAUGGAAGAUGUUAAUGUUCGACUCAAGAAGAUCCUAACUCAAUUUCUGCAAAAUGUAGUGACAAACUAAACGGUAGUGCUGAAGUCUCUAAUGGAAUCAUUUCUUCACGGGCAAAUUGAAAAUAUUCGAAAGAACUUUUAAGAGAUUGAAAAUCUGUCAGUUCAACUGUUUCAGAAAAUUUGUUCUGUGUUUAUUCUUCUUUAUGUACGUAUCAGCUUUCUUCUUUUCCUUUUUUUCUUCUUCCUAGCAUCAAUCUACAACUUAUUGAUAACAUGUGUGUUCAUACAUGAUUAUGUUUCUUUUUUAAACAGAUAAAUCCCCAUAGGAUAAUGGGGCAAGACUCGAAACUUGGUGGAUAAUGGGCCCGCUUCUAUAUCUUUCUCCACACAAAUAGUACUAGGAUUUUUGCGACCUGUAGGGUUCGAACGUCGAACCAUUUGUGUGCACCUAACCUACCAUAUAUGAUUAUAUUUUUUAAUGACGACAAAUCGAUAUUGUUCACAAGAAAUUCAAAUGUUUAUUCAUCUGUAAUCAGUAAGAGAUCUUGUUAACUGAUACCCCUGAAUAAAUUAUCAGUACAUUGGGUGGCUUGAAACUACUUACUACACAAUACAGAAGAAAAUUGCAAUUCCACUAGCACUAGCAUAUUUUAUGAAAUAUUAGCUGAUAGAAGCAGUAGUAAUGCUAAAGGAACAUAUCAAUUAAUAAUACACAAAACACUUACUCUUGUUUAUGUGAGGUGCAUAGAUGAAGCACUUGCCAAAAAUGUGCAUUAGAUGUCCAACUUUUGCCACUGCAAGGAUUAAAGAAGGAAAGGAAACAGUAAGAUUAGCUAGGAACCUAAACUGCUCCUAUAGAAAUGAUAAAAAGAAGCAUAUUAGUUGAGCACUUCACUACAAUUUGACAACUUAACAUCAAGGAGCAAGCCCUGAUCAGGAGUUCAUGAUCGGGAGUUACACCACGAGCACGACUUUAACGUAUGCAAACUAACCAAUACUAUAAGUUCAGAGAAAUGGAAACAACAGAGUGAUUUUUGCACAACAACUGAGAGAAAGAAACAUCUGAGAAACUAGACAGAACAGUACAGACGAAUCCCGCUGGAAACGUAACUAGGAAAUGUAAUUAAAGCACAAAAAGAGUGCCCCAAAUCUAAAUACACUCUUUAUCAUACAGAACGGUAUUGCAUUAAACAAAACUUAGAAUCUUAACCAAAAUUAUACAGGGGAUUGUGGCGAUUUGAAAUCGUAGAACCAGAAAAGCGACUGGUUGAAACAUAAUAACCCCAGGACCAAGAUCUUCCCACUUUCUUCUUCCAUACUUUUCUUUCUUUCUUUAUCUGAUUCGAUUGGAUCUGUAUUUUGCUCUCUUUGUUGACUAAACAAGUCGUAAAUGGGAAAAGCUCCAAACAAUUUGAUCUCCGUUGGACUUCUGUUUCAUUCUUCUUCUUUAUAU